rnacentral:rRNA from 1 species
UACGUAGGGUGCGAGCGUUAAUCGGAAUUACUGGGCGUAAAGCGUGCGCAGGCGGUUUUGUAAGCCAGAUGUGAAAUCCCCGGGCUUAACCUGGGAAUGGCAUUUGGGACUGCAAGGCUUGAGUGCGGCAGAGGAGACUGGAAUUCCUGGUGUAGCAGUGAAAUGCGUAGAUAUCAGGAGGAACACCGAUGGCGAAGGCAGGUCUCUGGGCAGUAACUGACGCUGAGGAGCGAAAGCGUGGGUAGCGAACAGG